GGAAGGAUCAUUAACACGUCCAAGUCCCAUAUACAAACCCGUGUGAACCCCAAGACAGUGGGAAUGCAAUCAAGGAUGGAGGAUCCCUUGAGUUGCCCACCUCUGUGGUUGUUAUUCCAUCUGUGGUCUAUCCUAUUUGGAAUAGCAAUCGAAAGGAAACAGCGUGAACUCAUACGUUGCUAAUUGUAUGUAUCUUCUCUUAUGGUUCGCAUUGGUGGAGAAGUUGCUGUGCUGGUGGCGCGUAUUGGCAUUGGCCUUCAAUAAUCCCUAGCAGGGCAGAAGCAUUUUCGUAAUGCUGCUGUGCUUGCUAGCGUCUGUUGGCGGUGGCCUUUAAUAAGUCGUAGCCGGGCAGAAGCUUUUCUAUAAUGCGGGGAGAUUAUACUGCUUUAGCAGGGUAUUUGUUCAUUGCAACCUCCGCUUUUUAAAUAUUUUUACCACAAUUACUUGUUGACUAAUAGUUUAGCAGCGUGUGGUUCUCACCGCUGACUAAAUAACAAAUAAAUACAACUUUCAGCAACGGAUAUCUUGGUUCCUCGCAACGAUGAAGAACGCAGCGAAAUGCGAUACGUAAUGCGAAUUGCAGAAUUCAGUGAAUCAUCGAAUCUUUGAACGCAAAUUGCGCUUCCGGGUAUUCCUGGGAGCAUGCCUCUUUGAGUAUCGUUAACAACACCACUCUCCUUUUUGGAUGUUCAAGCUUUACACUCAGAUGUCUGUUCUGUAUGUAAAGGCUUGAGCAGACUUUCUUGGAGGAUUUGGAUGUUCAUGCUGUAAAAGGCAUGUCGUCUUAAGAUCAUCUUACUUAGGAAAAUACUCUAAUAAGACUCCUUAUAUGGUACACUUUCCUUCAAUAAGAUAUACUUGCUAUAGCUUUUUGAUGGCAUUGCAUCAUAGUAAAGGACUUAUCAAGGUGUUUUCCGAAAUAAGAACACAAACGAAGGAAAAGCCGGAAAUAUAGGCUUAAGUGUCUAGUUUCCGUUUGUUUUGAUCUCAAAUGAGGUAAGAAGACCCGCUGAAUUUAAGCAUAUAAAUAAGCGGAGGAAAAGAAACUAACAAGGAUUCCCCUAGUAACGGCGAGUGAAGCGGGAAGAGCUCAGCUUGAAAAUCGGAGGCCUUUAUGGUCUUUGAAUUGUAGUCUAGAGAAGCAAUGUCCGCUGUGGCCCAGGUCUAAGUCCUUUGGAACAAGGUGUCAAAGAGGGUGAGAACCCCGUUUGGGCUUGGAGUCUGCUGCGUACGACGUGCUUUCUACGAGUCGGGUUGUUUGGGAUUGCAGCCCUAAUUGGGAGGUAAAUUUCUUCUAAAGCUAAAUACUGGCGAGAGACCGAUAGCGAACAAGUACCGUGAGGGAAAGAUGAAAAGAACUUUGAAAAGAGAGUUAAAAGUGCUUGAAAUUGCUGAAAGGGAAGCGAUGGAAAACCAACACUGCGCGUACUCAUAUUUUGCUUUUGUGGAUAUCAGUCUCUCCAGAGCUUGAGUUUAUACCGGUUCUGGUUUGCCUGCAUAUUUUCAAAGGUGUCCUGUGGGUAUGGGCGAGUCAAAAUCAAUUCAUUUGGUAGUAGAUGAGCUGAGAGAAGGUACCAGGAAUACAAGAACUUGUAUUUCUGGGAAAUAUCUUUCAGUUAACACUACUGUCUGGAUUGAGGUUUGCCAGUGUAUGCCAUCUGGCAGCGCUUCUGAUUCUCUGCUGUGCUCAAUGGUAAUGGAUAACAAAGUUAUGCUUUGCUUAUUGAGUUGGCAUUAGGGUCAGUCGUGUCUAAUACACUGGUGAUUUUGACGCAAUGGUUUUCUUCACCGACCCGUCUUGAAACACGGACCAAGGAGUCUAACAUAUAUGCAAGUAUUUGGGUGUUAAACCCUGAUGCGUAAUGAAAAGUAAAGGUCUUCGGACUUAGGUAGGAUUCCCUUAGUUUUCGAACGGGGAUGCACCAUCGACCGAUCGUCCACUUGUGGAAGAUUUGAGUAAGAGCAUAUCUGUUGGGACCUCGAAAGAUGGUGAACUAUGCCUGGACAGGGCGAAGCCAGGGGAAACCCUGGUGGAGGCUCGUAGCGAUACUGACGUGCAAAUCGUUCGUCUGAUCUGGGUAUAGGGGCGAAAGACUAAUCGAACCAUCUAGUAGCUGGUUCCCUC
rnacentral:misc_RNA from 1 species